rnacentral:lncRNA from 1 species
AGUGCUUGAACAUGAAAGACAGAGAAUUGACCAGAAGCAAGCGUCCUUAGAGUGGGGUCGUCAUAUUUGAGAAAUGUGCUACAGGGAUCUAGGUAUGGUAUUCUUUCAAGACUCAGCCUCUGCAGUCUUGAGAAAGGGCUGGCAUAUGUUUUGAGAAGAAAAUGUGUAGAUAGCUUUUUUUGUUUUGUUUUUGUUACUUUACCAGCAAUAUUUAUUUUUGGAACCAGAAAUAUAUAGGUUGACAUGUAAUGCCAUCUUAAAGAUCAUGAUGAAUGAUGAGCUACUGGGAAAAGAAGGCUUUGGUGUCAGCUCAUUGGCAGACUAGAGAGCUCCCAGCCAGCAAAGAUGGAGUUUGGAGUUCUGCAAAAAGAAUAGAGUAAUUUUGAUCUCGUUAGGACCAGAUCAAAAACAAUUGUCUUUUUGAUCUGUGUUUUUAAAGUAUUCAUAUGUAAAAAAUUAUCUGUAAUAAUAAGACAUACUAAAAGGGGCAUUAUUCAUUGCAUAUAUAAUCUGGAAUAGCAUCUUUAAUGCUUCUAUGACAUUUUUAAUGUUGUUUAAUGUUUAACUUUUAAUAAAAAAGGAAAAUUCAUAUUUGACCUUAAAAUGCAUUAGAAUAUAUAGCAAUUUAAGCAGCAGAUUUUCUUCAUUGUUUUUUCUUCAUAUAAUUAAGUUAUAUCAAGUUUGUGUAGGAUGAGGCCAUUAUCUUCUAAUGCUGGAAGGCCAAGUGGUAAAAUACUUGUGGUAUUAUUCUAAGAGGAUGUUGCAUAUAGAUAAUUGACAAAUGAUUGCAUUUGAUGUCUAUUUAGUGAUGACAUGACAAUAAUGAAAAUAUAUAAUAAUACAAGGAUAAAUUAAUAAUGAUGACAUCCAUUUUCUCUUUUUGGUGAAGCUUAUUUACAUUUGCAUAAAAUUUUAUAAUUGAAUUCUGGCUAUAUAUAGCAUCCUUUGUCAUCCGACUUUGACCAAAUAGGGUCAGGUUGCUGGGGCUGUUAUCUCUCAUUUAAUUGUAUGUUUGCAACUAGGUAUUCUUUUCUGCUAUGACCCUGAUAUUUGAAUGACUAAUAGGCACUGUGUACUGAGAAUAUAAUAAUGAGCAGUUAGAUAUCAUCUGUGCAUUUAAGUUAUAAACUCUAUGGGAUAAACAAACCACCAAGAAAUUCAAAAAAAAUUGAGAUUAGAAUGAUCACAGGAGAAAUACAGAAUCCUAGAAUGUGAGGCAGCUAAAGAUUUACCCAAGAUGAGCCUGGCAAGUAAGGUAGAACCCUGGCUAAUCAGAGUUUUAAAAACCAGGUCAAGGAGUUUAGACUUUGUUCCAAGGACUAGCAGAAACCAUUAAAGAGUUUUAGGUAGGAAAUGGUAUAAUUAGACUUGCAGUUUUGAAAGGAGACACUGUUUGUAUGUGUUGUAAUAAC